UUAAUUCUUACUGUGUGGUAAAGUGCUGUCCUUUGAACUUAAGAGGCAUUUUCAUGUACACAUGCAGACACAAUAUUGCUAUAUACCUCUGAAAAACUCCUGCUGUUUGUGUUUAUUAGUUACAUCAGCAGUCAAAAUGAAUGAAACAGUUUCAUAGAUGGACAUGCAUGUCCAAAUCAAGAGAUCAUCUUAUCCAUGUUUCUCAAUGAAGUGGUGCACUUUGCAUCAUCUGAAUUUUCUCUUUGUAUCACACUUUUAGCUUUCCAUCACUUUGAUCGAGGUUUUAUCAUUUAUCCAUGUCAUUCUAGAACUGUACGGGCUUAUCACUCUAUGUUAUGAAAGGUUCUAAUCCAGCCUUUAUGUUUUUAAUGCAGUGGAAUCCUCUCAGCUUUGGGAAAUCUGCUGUCUCAGGGGCUUGAAAAAAGAGACGGAACCCAUGAUUCCGAAAAGCCUCUGAAAUGGCUUGGACCAACACGGUUUGCCAUUUAUGGGCUCUUUUUUACUGGACCAAUUAGUCAUUAUUUUUACCAGUGCCUGGAGCUGCUUGUCCCUUCAACUGCCUCACACAACAUUUUGAAAAGGCUGCUGUUAGACAGACUCAUUUUCGCCCCAGCCAUCCUUCUGUUAUUCUUCCUCGUCAUGAACUUCUUAG